GCGGUACGCGAGCUGGGUUUAGAACGUCGUGAGACAGUUCGGUCCCUAUCCUCUGCAGCCGGAGGAGAUUUGAGAAAAGCUGUCCCUAGUACGAGAGGACCGGGACGGACGUAGCUCUCGUGUGCCAGUUGUUCCGCCAGGAGCAUGGCUGGUUGGCGACCUACGGAAGGGAUAACCGCUGAAAGCAUCUAAGCGGGAAGCCUUUUUCAAGAUGAGAUCUCCCACCGGGAUAACCGGGUAAGGCCCGUGGCAGACCACCACGUUGAUAGGCCGGAGGUGUAAGUGCGGCAACGUGCUCAGCCGACCGGUACUAAUCGGCCGAGGGCUUGGUUAC
rnacentral:rRNA from 1 species